rnacentral:tRNA from 1 species
GCUGGAAUAGCUUAGUUGGUUAAAACGUGUGGCUGUUAACCACAAGGUUGGAGGUUCAAGCCCUCCUUCUAGCG